rnacentral:lncRNA from 13 species
AGAGUGUUAAGCUUUCAUUUAGGGAAAGAAAAAAAAUGUAUUCAGAUGUAAAUGCUUUAGUGAUAUCAAAUGUGACCUUUUCUAUUUGUAGCAAUUAAUCUGGUCAUUCAACAACUAUUUAUUGGGCUUCUCAAUGUGUUCCAGGAAGUAUUUGAAGCCCAGGGGAUUGUGGUGAAAAAGACAAACACUGCCCCAUCUGUCCUGAAACAGACAUUUCAGAGGAGGGAAAUGGAUGAUAAACAGGCAGAAACUCCAGCUAUGAGAACAUGUGGAUGCUGGGCAUGGCUUUUUAUGUAACAGCAGAAGUUCCAAGAUUGGCAUCCAGGAUAGAUCCAGUACCUCUUUUGUGUGACGUUAAUACUAAUCCUUGGAACAAAUUAGUUGACAAGGUAAGAUCAUUUCUUUACAUAGAUUUUGAUGCUCAUCUUUCUAGAAAGACUGACUACGUCCCUCGGGCAAGUCUGAGGCAUCAUGAUACGUAAUACUUUUUAUCCUGCUCAGAUUUCUUUGGGCUGCACAUACUCCUAAUUUUAGGAGUCGCUGCAAGCAAUUAGGAGUCUUACACUCACAUAUUCAAUGGUCUGUGCCAAAACUGUCCAUGUUUGAUAGGGUGAUGUGUACUCAGUUAUUUUAAAUUCUUUCCUUUGAAAUGAAUGCUUUACUGUUCCCACAUUUUCUGAUAUUCUGAAAUAUACUUUUCCAGACCUCUUCCUAAAGCAUGUCAAUUUUAAGGUCUGCACCAGAGCUCUGUUCUGCUCUUAGCUGUUGAAUAUAUCUGGCUUACUUUAAAAAAUUGUGUUUGCUCAUGGAGGGGCAGGGAACUGGGGAGGAGAAGGUAGGUAAGGUAGGAUUCGAUUCCAAAUGAACUGAAUAAUAGGUAUCGGAGAUAGUUGUUUUCAAAGGUGAAAAGAGAUGACUGGAAAUCAAUGGGCAGGCAUAUUGGAAUGUAAAAGUGAUCAACAUGAACACAGGCCAUAUCAUCAAUGCUCUCUGAAUGCAAAAGGAAAGGGAACUACUAUGCCAUGGCUUCCUUUGGAUUGAUGUGUGUUUCCAAACUUAGAGGACAAAGGACAAUGCUUGCAGGGACUUUAACUUGAAAAAAAAAUAGGCUUGUGGCAUUAGCAUAGCAUGUUGAGUUCUUUGGAGUCAAUGUGCUGGCUAAAUUUCUCCUGCUAAUAAAUGCUUUUAUCACAAAGUACA